AUUGAACGCUGGCGGAAUGCUUUACACAUGCAAGUCGAGCGGCAGCGCGGGGGCAACCCUGGCGGCGAGCGGCGAACGGGUGAGUAACAUAUCGGAACGUACCCCGUCGUGGGGGAUAACACAGCGAAAGCUGUGCUAAUACCGCAUACGACCUGAGGGUGAAAGCGGGGAUCGCAAGACCUCGCGCGAUGGGAGCGGCCGAUAUCGGAUUAGCUUGUUGGUGAGGUAAAGGCUCACCAAGGCGACGAUCCGUAGCUGGUCUGAGAGGACGACCAGCCACACUGGAACUGAGACACGGUCCAGACUCCUACGGGAGGCAGCAGUGGGGAAUUUUGGGACAAUGGGGGCAACCCUGAUCCAGCCAUUCCGCGUGAGUGAAGAAGGCCU
rnacentral:rRNA from 1 species